rnacentral:rRNA from 1 species
AAUCAACGCUGGCGGCGUGCCUCAGACAUGCAAGUCGAACGCGAAAUCUCCCUUCGGGGAGAAAGUAGAGUGGCGCACGGGUGAGUAACACGUGGGUAAUCUACCUCUGGGUGGGAAUAACAGUCGGAAACGGCUGCUAAUACCGCAUAAUGCAGCGGCAUCACAUGAUGACAGUUGUUAAAGCGGGGGAUCGUAAGACCUCGCGCCUUGAGAGGAGCCCG